rnacentral:rRNA from 1 species
CUACUACCGAUUGAAUGGCUCAGUGAGGCUCUCUCGGACUGGCCUAGAGAGGGCGGCAACGCUCACUCAGGGCUCGGAAAGCUGGUCAAACUUGGUCAUUUAGAGGAAGUAAAAGUCGUAACAAGGUU